GAUGAACGCUGGCGGCGUGCCUAAUACAUGCAAGUCGAGCGAACAGAUAAGGAGCUUGCUCCUUUGACGUUAGCGGCGGACGGGUGAGUAACACGUGGGUAACCUACCUAUAAGACUGGGAUAACUUCGGGAAACCGGAGCUAAUACCGGAUAAGAUUUCGAACCGCAUGGUUCGAUAGUGAAAGAUGGUUUUGCUAUCACUUAUAGAUGGACCCGCGCCGUAUUAGCUAGUUGGUAAGGUAACGGCUUACCAAGGCGACGAUACGUAGCCGACCUGAGAGGGUGAUCGGCCACACUGGAACUGAGACACGGUCCAGACUCCUACGGGAGGCAGCAGUAGGGAAUCUUCCGCAAUGGGCGAAAACCUGACGGAGCAACGCCGCGUGAGAGAUGAAGGUCUUCGGAUCGUAAAACUCUGCUAUUAGGGAAGAACAUACGUGUAAGUAACUGUGCACGUCUUGACGGUACCUAAUCAGAAAGCCACGGCUAACUACGUG
rnacentral:rRNA from 1 species